CAGCAGCCGCGGUAAUACAGAGGGUGCAAGCGUUAAUCGGAAUUACUGGGCGUAAAGCGCGCGUAGGUGGUUUGUUAAGUUGGAUGUGAAAGCCCCGGGCUCAACCUGGGAACUGCAUCCAAAACUGGCAAGCUAGAGUACGGUAGAGGGUGGUGGAAUUUCCUGUGUAGCGGUGAAAUGCGUAGAUAUAGGAAGGAACACCAGUGGCGAAGGCGACCACCUGGACUGAUACUGACACUGAGGUGCGAAAGCGUGGGGAGCAAACAGGAUUAGAUACCCCCGUAGUCCCUGUCUCUUAUAU
rnacentral:rRNA from 1 species